GAGAUGGAUUGAGAUUCAGUGAAUCAUCAAAUCUUUGAUCGCACCUUGCACCUUUUGGAUAUUCCGAAAGGUACACCUGUUUGAGUGUCAUGA
rnacentral:rRNA from 1 species